rnacentral:rRNA from 1 species
GACGAACGCUGGCGGCGUGCUUAACACAUGCAAGUCGAACGGAAAGGACCCUUUGGGGCUCCUCGAGUGGCGAACGGGUGCGUAACACGUAAGUAACCGGCCCUUGACUUCGGGAUAACUUUAGGAAACUGGGGCCAAUGCCGGAAAGGAAUCCUUGCUGCAUGGUGGGGGUUGGAAAGCUUCGGCGGUUUUGGAUGGACUCGCGGCUUAUCAGCUUGUUGGUGGGGUAGUGGCUUACCGAGGCUUUGACGGGUAGCCGGCCUGAGAGGGCGACCGGCCACAUUGGGACUGAGAUACGGCCCAGACGCCUACGGGAGGCAGCAGUGGAGAAUAUUGCACAAUGGGCGGAAGCCUGAUGCAGCAACGCUGCGUGCGGGAUGACGGGCUUCGGGUUGUAAACCGGUUUCAGCAGGGGAGAGGCGUGUGGUGACGGUACCUGCAGAAGAAGCACCGGCUAACUACGUG